GACGAACGCUGGCGGCGUGCCUAAUACAUGCAAGUCGAGCGGACGAAUCGAAAGCUUGCUUUUGAUUCGUUAGCGGCGGACGGGUGAGUAACACGUGGGCAACCUGCCCUGUAGACGGGGAUAACACCGAGAAAUCGGUGCCAAUACCGGAUAACACGAAAUGUCGCAUGACGUUUCGUUGAAAGGCGGCGCAAGCUGUCGCUACAGGAUGGGCCCGCGGCGCAUUAGCUAGUUGGUGAGGUAACGGCUCACCAAGGCGACGAUGCGUAGCCGACCUGGGAGGGUGAUCGGCCACACUGGGACUGAGACACGGCCCAGACUCCUACGGGAGGCAGCAGUAGGGAAUCUUCCGCAAUGGACGAAAGUCUGACGGAGCAACGCCGCGUGAGCGAAGAAGGCCUUCGGGUCGUAAAGCUCUGUUGUUAGGGAAGAACAAGUAACGCAGUAACUGGCGUUACCGUGACGGUACCUAACGAGAAAGCCACGGCUAACUACGUGCCAGCCGCCGCAGUAA
rnacentral:rRNA from 1 species